UAGGGAAUCUUCCGCAAUGGGCGAAAGCCUGACGGAGCAACGCCGCGUGAGUGAUGAAGGUCUUCGGAUCGUAAAACUCUGUUAUUAGGGAAGAACAAAUGUGUAAGUAACUAUGCACGUCUUGACGGUACCUAAUCAGAAAGCCACGGCUAACUACGUGCCAGCAGCCGCGGUAAUACGUAGGUGGCAAGCGUUAUCCGGAAUUAUUGGGCGUAAAGCGCGCGUAGGCGGUUUUUUAAGUCUGAUGUGAAAGCCCACGGCUCAACCGUGGGGGGUCAUUGGAAACUGGAAAACUUGAGUGCAGAAGAGGAAAGUGGAAUUCCAUGUGUAGCGAUGAAAUGCGCAGAGAUAUGGAGGAACACCAGUGGCGAAGGCGACUUUCUGGUCUGUAACUGACGCUGAUGUGCGAAAGCGUGGGGAUCAAACAGG
rnacentral:rRNA from 1 species